UUUUUGGUGAAAGUAAAAAGUAGGGUCUGCCCAGUGAGUAAUUUUAACGGCCGCAAUAUUUGUGCGAAGGUAGCAUAAUCAUUUGUCUUUUAAUUGAUGACUGGAAUGAAUGGCUGGACGGGGAUAAGCUGUCUUAUGUAUAUAUAUUUGAAAUUUACUUUUAAGUAAAAAGGCUUAAAUAUUUUAGAGGGACGAGAAGACCCUAUUGAGUUUAAUAGAAUUUAUUUAAAUUUUUCUUAAAUUUUUAUGUAAUCUAUUUAGUUGGGGAGAUUUGAUAUUAUUAACUAUAUAAGAAUUAAUAGACUUUAAGUUUUUAGGAUCAAUAUUUUAUGAGUGUUAAGGUAAAUUACCUUAGGGAUAACAGCGUAAUAUUUUUUUAGAGUUCAAAUCGAUUAAAAUGAUUACGACCUCGAUGUUGGAUUAAGGAACCUAAUUUGGAGAAGAUUUAAUUAGGUAGUCG
rnacentral:rRNA from 1 species